rnacentral:rRNA from 1 species
UACGAAGGGGGCUAGCGUUGUUCGGAAUUACUGGGCGUAAAGCGCGCGCAGGCGGUCUUCCAAGUCAGUGGUGAAAGCCCGGAGCUCAACUCCGGAACUGCCAUUGAAACUGUAAGACUUGAGGAUGAGAGAGGUGAGUGGAAUUCCCAGUGUAGAGGUGAAAUUCGUAGAUAUUGGGAAGAACACCGGUGGCGAAGGCGGCUCACUGGCUCAUAUCUGACGCUCAGGCGCGACAGCGUGGGAGUCAAACAGGA